rnacentral:rRNA from 1 species
UACGUAGGGUGCGAGCGUUGUCCGGAAUUAUUGGGCGUAAAGAGCUCGUAGGCGGGUUGUCACGUCUGCUGUGAAAUCCCGAGGCUCAACCUCGGGCCUGCAGUGGGUACGGGCAGACUGGAGUGCGGUAGGGGAGAAUGGAAUUCCUGGUGUAGCGGUGGAAUGCGCAGAUAUCAGGAGGAACACCGAUGGCGAAGGCAGUUCUCUGGGCCGUAACUGACGCUGAGGAGCGAAAGCGUGGGGAGCGAACAGG